rnacentral:lncRNA from 1 species
GGCUCUUUUAAAAAUAGAUGAAUUUGACUUUAUUAAAUAAUUUUGUGAGCAUUUUCAAUAUAGGAAAAAUAAUAUUUCUUUUGGGAAUUAAAAUUUAAUGUAGGUUUAGAAAAUAUUUUGUUGCAUACAUGCUGGUGCAAUUUUACUGCGAUGAUUGUUUUAAAAACAAAAUGUCAUUUGCUCAAAAAUUCAUUUGGGAAAAUGCAAGUGGAAAAAUGUAUUUAACAAAAAAAAAGAAAAAGAGAAAGUGGAAUUUUCCUUUCCCCCUAUUCCCCUCUCGGCCUUUCGGCCCAACCCCUCCCCCGCGCUCUUCUCUUCCUGGGCCAGGCCCAGCCGGCCUUCUCCCCCUUCCCCUCUCUCUCACCCGCUGACAGGCCGGGCCCGCCUGUCAGCUUCACCUUCUCCAACCGGCCGCCCCCGAUUUCCCCCUCUCUCCCUGCUGAAACCGCAGCCCCCCCCCCCCGCUCCCCACGAUCCCCCUCUUCUCCCCCCCGCGCCUCGGGCGUUUUUGAAAGAGCUCCGCACGCCCGAGCAUCUCCACCUCCCCAUUUCCCCCUCUUCUCGCCCCUGCUCUCGUCCUUGAGCGUUUCAAGAACCGCCGCCGGAGAGCCAUCGUCGGCCGCGCGACGCCCGGCGAUUCGAGCCAUUUCCGUCCCCGAUUCUCACCGUGGUGAGCGCGUUACAUCCUCCUCUUCUCCCCUAACCCCUUACCUUGCUAAACAGCGCCCGCUAGCGACCUUCCCAAGAGCAUCGACGGGGCCGACCAUGGCGCCACCGUCGGUCUCCUUGCAAGCCGCUCCCACCGGUUGCGUUUUACUCGGUGCUUGACUCCCCUCGCCCUCCUCUACCUCCCUGUGCAAACCGAUUUGAAAUCCGAGCACCGUAGCGCCCGGGCGACAUUCUCCGGCGAGCAGCUCGCCGCCGGCCAUGGAGCGCCGCCGCGCCUCCCCUGUCUCCGGCCGGCAGCGCCACCUCUUUCCCCCCCAAACCGACCAGCGCCGUUGAUUUCUAAUCGGACGACCGAGAGCGCCCUGUACCCCUUCGGGGGCCGUUUUGCUUAAAGAACCCCUCCCAGAUUUCCAAAUUCGCCCACCGUCCUUAGCGCAUUAGGAAGGUUACGCUUUGCCGCUUAGAAAGCGUAUUCCCUGUCGGGCUAGAUCAAAAUACGCUUUCAGGAAUUUACAGAUUUGCCACUGAACUUGUUUUGGCCAUAACAUAAUCGUGUUAACUCCGAUUUGACCCGUUAAAAUUGCGUUAGAUUCGUAUUUAAAUUCUCUACGUGUUAGACCCACUACUACUGCAGUUUGAAACAUUUUAAUUUCGUGAUCCUAUUUAAUUUGCUUUUCUAUAGGAAAAUCUUAGAAAAUACAUAUCUUCUCCGUUUUAGCUCUGAUUCGAUCCGUUCAAGUUGCGUUAGUUUCAUAAUUUCGUAAGCUUCGUGUUAGUACCACUGUUGUUUAGGUUUACCACUGUUAGAUUUCCUAGUUAAAUACAAGUCCGUAGAUAGCCUUCGCAGUCCCGUUUAAUGCGUAGAUUUCACGUCGUAACUCCGUUUUCUGUGAAUUUCUCAUUGUCGUGAUCGUAGCAGCGUGUAGAUGAUUUUGGAAAACUUUUAUUUACAUUUAUUUACUGCUGGUGUACUGUUCUAAUUGUAAUCUUGUUUGCUUCGUGUAUGUUUGUCUCCGAUUGCUUGUGUGUUGAUGUUUGGUGAUCGAGCCUAAUCAGUGGGCAUUACUUCGGUGAUCAAGAUCAGAGCCUUGGAAGCAAGUAAGAUCAGCAGGACCAGCAGGAGCAAUUGGAUCAAGGCAAGUAUAGCAUUUGGGUUUUAAUUCUAUGACCAUGAUCUUGUGACUAGAUCGAUAUAAAGCAACAAAUGAUAAUAAUGACUUUUUAGCAACUUGAGGAUUUAUUCGUAAGUGAUAACCGGGAUGAAAGUGCAACCAUGAGGGCUAUAAUGGCUCUGGCUUUAGUCAAGUAUGAGUAAUUUUUCUAGCUUGUUAGAGGUUACCCGUGUGGCGCAAAUGGGGGAUAGCAGACCGUGGAUUCCCUGCGAGUGGUAGAAUCACACGGACUGACUAACGAAACCAAGCGGCCCUAACUUGUUAGACGAACCUUUGAAAGACUUCAUAGUGAUCCCUGCCGACCUACCUUGGUAGUGGGUUACGAGGCUGAUCACCUCAGGCGAAAGGGUAAAUCAUGACUCAUGGGUAAAGAUGUACAACCUCUGCAGAGUGUUAAAAACUGGUAUACUAGCCGUGCUCACGGUCACGAGCGGCCUUGGGAACUCUUACAUUAAGGGUGAUGAAUCUUGUGUUAAGAAACUCAUUGAUUACUGUUUAAUGCUCUAUAUUAUUUAUGUCACAUUGAUCAUGAGAUUGUGGGAUCUAUACAAUCUAGUUGUUAUACUUGCGGAGUUCGUCAUGGACUCACUCUUGCUAUCUCCCCCACACCUCAGGAGAAGUUUCAGGCUUGUGAUCAACCAGUCAGUUGGAUCCUGUAGAGUGAGGUUAACACCCGAAGUUUGGAGUUCUCUUCCGUGUUUGCUGCCCAAGGUUGUUUCUAAUUUAUUAUCUACGCUAUAUAACUUAUGUGUUGUCCUUUGAUAUUACCCCUUAUUUGUAGCUAUAUGUGAGGCUUGUCUUCUAAAACUCACAUAUGGUGCAUAUCUGAUUUUGUUCUUAAAAUCGGGUCUUACAAAGUGGUAUCAAAGCAAUGCUGACUGUAGGACGCAAGCCUAGCUAGAACCGGACGUUUUAGAAUGCUUCUAUCUCUCCUUACUUCUUGCUUUCACCUUAACCUUGAUAAUUGCUAAAACUUAUGCUUACCUCUGCCCUAUUCUAUUAUAAAACUUUGUCUCUAUUCUAAAUCCAACCUCCUUGUCUAUUUAGAUGGCUCAUAAUGAGGAGACCUUUGGCAAGAAUGGACAAAAGGACCUCGCUUCGCCACCCAUAAAAGCAUUCGACAAGGAGAAGCUUCUAGCCAUGCAAAAGCAAGUAGUGGAAGGAAUGACUCAGAAUGGAAACUCUCAGCAGUGCAUCUCAGGACCAGUAAAGAGACAAGUAGCAGAAGCUUGGAAAAAUAUGAGAACCCAUGGUGUUGGUAGUAGUACAUCGGGAUCUCAGGGUCAAUGCCAUUGCUGUAGGCAUUAUGGUCUUCCUUGUCGUCGGAAUAGGUCAUCUAAAAAGAAAGUUAAGGUAACAUCAAAUGGUGUGACUAAUGAGGAUAAGAAGAGGAAGGCAAAAUCACUAGAGCCAGCAUUGGGAAGUGAACAACAUUCAAAUCCUAUGUUGUCACAUUUAGCUUUGAACUCUGGCCAUGAAAAUCCAAACCUUGGAGAUGAAGAAACUUCUCAAGCUAACCCCACUGCUCAUGAGGUAUACAUAGAUGGAUGGACAAUCACUUAUAAAGAGUUUCAACCUCGAAGCAUCAACCAAGUUAGGAAGAAAGCUAGCCAGCUAGAGACAAACCUUCAGAGUCAGCGAGCUGAUAACACACCGAGCAACACCUCAGUGGAAAGUGAUAUCACGAAGGAUCCAGCUAAGAAAAAGUGUUAUCACUACCGACAGGAAGGACACUAAGUAAACUCUUGUCCAUAGAGGAAUCAAUAGAUGCAUCAUGAAAGUAGCCACACCGAGUUUAAGAUAUAGGAGUUUGUGCCCUUGUGUAAUAAAAACGCUAGCAGCGAAAGUCGAGUUUGUGUGCCUUGUGAACUUUUACUGCUUGGUUGAAUUGUCUUUAUGUUUAUGUUUAUGUUUGAUUUGGAUCUUUGUAAUGAGUGUAAUGAUCUUGUGAGUUUCUUCACAAUUUCAUUUAGUUUACAUGCUAAGGCAUAAGGAUUAAUGACAUAAAUAGUUGGGUUUUGGUUUUUCUCUUGUUACCUUAUCGUGCCUUUCUAGAGUAUCUCAUCUUUAUCGGUUUAUGUCUCUAUUCUUGGAUGACUAAAAAUCAUGAGAAAAUUCUGGAUGAGAGUGGACUUCAAGAUCUUUCUCUGACCGCAAGAAUCACCCUCAUAGCUAUUAUGGUUUGUAAGUUACAAAAAUCACAAGACGUUACAGAUGUGCUGUCAAGAACCUGGACCAGUUUUGGUUGCCUGCUGUUUUGGACAAACAUAACUAUAGAAUUUGGAAAAGUGUUCUAUAGAAAGGUUGUAGAAAAUUUUCUAUGCUUUCUAACGGUAUAAGCUAUAACCCUAUUGGAUUAACAGAACAAGGGUUAUGUCCAUUUUACAGCGCUGGUGAUUUUCUUAUCGCGAGAAAAUUUCAGGAUAUUUAUUCUUCCUUGCACAUAAGUUCCUUGGGAUGUCAAAAGGGUCUCAAUGCAAGAUAACUUGUCAAGAAAAAGUGCAAGCUACCUUCCUUGUGCCUCCUAGUCGACCUUUCUUAAGGGGGGUAGUACCUUGAUAUCAUGGGUUGAUGCAUUUUCAACUUAUUUUGAAGUGAGAGUUGUCUCAUGAGAUAUUCUAUGAAUAUGAUCAUCUCUCCUUCUCGUGUCAUUGACGUUGGUAACUUGAUGAUAGGGAGUGUAGUAUCCCAUGGAUCAGGAGCCCUAUAUGAUGCCUCUUACUGAUACGUGGGAAGAGAAUGAUGAUCCUAUCCUUGAUGGAUUUUAUGAGUAUGAUGAAACUGAGUACUAUCAAAAUAAUGAUACUAAAGAGCAAGUUGGAAGUGAAUCAAAUCAGAAUCCACAACGGCGAAAGAGAAAAAGGAAAAGCUAUAAGAAGUCUACUCAUGGAAAUAAGGUGCAACGGGACUAUAUCAAUGGAAGACUGAGCAAUGUGGAUAGGCAUAACAUUCAUGGAGCUACCAAAGUGGUUGGUGGCUAUAUUCAAGUAGACUCAGCGCAAGUUUUUGCUCUGUUUGACCCGAGUGCUUCGCAUUCUUUCAUUUCUGCUGACUUGGUAAAGACGAUCGAGUGGGUGAAGUGCCCAACGAGGAAGCCUUUGUUAGUUCAAACCCCAGUGGGAGAAAUACAAGCAGAUCAGGUGUGCUCAAAUAUCAAUCUGGUCAUAAACAAGGAAAACUUCACUGUAAACCUCAUUGUGCUAGAGUCGCUUGGUAUUCCCUUGGUCCUUGGUAAUGGAUGGUUGUGUGCACACAAAGGAGUGAUCUAUGGUACCCAGUACAAAAUGCUCUUAACAGCACCGUCAGGAAAAAGAAUUGAGUAUCACGGUGGUCCACUCCUACCUGAUGAAGCAAAUGCAUAUUAAGUUCCCAUGUCUCUUGGAGUUGUAAGCUAAAGGAAAUUAGUAGUCAAGAUGGACUUUGGUCAAUUAUGAAUAAUAGUUAUUCAAUGGAAAUUAUGUUCACGAGGUGUGACCUUGAGACAAGUGUUUAAGUUUGGUAUGCAAGUUGUGAAGAUGAAAGGAUUAUCAAGAUAUUUUCCUGUUUCUCUCAGAGGAUCUGAGCCUCUCCCGAAUCUCGAGGACGAGAUUCAUUUUAAGGGGGGUAGAAUUGUAACACCCAAAAUUUGGCUCUUUUAAAAAUAGAUGAAUUUGACUUUAUUAAAUAAUUUUGUGAGCAUUUUCAAUAUAGGAAAAAUAAUAUUUCUUUUGGGAAUUAAAAUUUAAUGUAGGUUUAGAAAAUAUUUUGUUGCAUACAUGCUGGUGCAAUUUUACUGCGAUGAUUGUUUUAAAAACAAAAUGUCAUUUGCUCAAAAAUUCAUUUGGGAAAAUGCAAGUGGAAAAAUGUAUUUAAAAAAAAAAAGAAAAAAAGAAAGUGGAAUUUUCCUUUCCCCCUAUUCCCCUCUCGGCCUUUCGGCCCAACCCCUCCCCCGCGCUCUUCUCUUCCUGGGCCAGGCCCAGCCGGCCUUCUCCCCCUUCCCCUCUCUCUCACCCGCUGACAGGCCGGGCCCGCCUGUCAGCUUCACCUUCUCCAACCGGCCGCCCCCGAUUUCCCCCUCUCUCCCUGCUGAAACCGCAGCCCCCCCCC